rnacentral:lncRNA from 1 species
UCAACUUGGACAUUCACUGUGGCCAUGUGUAGGUCAUCUUUGCUUGUCUCACCCUCUAUCACAAUUGAUAUUAAUAAGUAACUAGGAACGUUGAUAAUGUAGAGUCAAGGCCACACAUCUGUCCGACCAGUAGUUCUCUCUUUAACCUGAUUUGCUGUUACUAUAAUUAACCUGAGUAGCUUGCCAAUUGCUUGUAAGAGAAAUACAAACUGAAAAAAAGUUUGUUCUCCAUACUGAUAAUUUUAAAUCUAACGAAGUUGGUGUAUCCAUGCAGUUUUGAAAAUUGGCAUCUUAGCUGGGCAGUGGUGACAUAGUUCUUUAAUCCCAGCACUCAAGUGGCAGAGACAGGAGGAUCUCUGUGGGUUCCAGGACAGCCAGGGCUACACAGAGAGACCCUGCCCACCCCCCAGUCCCCCCAAAUCUUAUUUGGGCCAUCUGGCAGAGUCUGUAAUUCCUAUGGAGAGACUGAUGCAGGAGAAUCACAAGUUUCAUCAACCUGGUAAAAUUCUGCCUCAAAAAAUCCUAGCACUUGGGAAGUUGAGAGACUGAGGCAAAAAGAUGAGUUGAAGUUAAGUCUGGGCUACAUUAAUGAGACCUGACCCAGAAAAUAUUUUUCAAAAGGCAUUGCUUCUGCCUAGAAAGACUCUUGUGUGACUUGGAGUUUUAUGAGUCUGUGCCUCAGGAAGCACUUUCUUGUCUGGUUGGAUUCUGUCCUUCCUUCCUCCCUUCCUUCCAAGCGG